UAAUUUGUAACUGAAUUAGCAGCGAAAAAACCGUCAACACUGCUCUUCGAGUCAAGAAAAAUGCACAGGACAGUAAAAAACAGAGAGCAGACAACAAAACUGAGAUUUUUGUUUUAUGAACUUCCUACAACACAGCUCGCCAAUUAGUAAAUCUUGUAAGAAAAUUAUGCUGUUCAAAUUACUACAUACUAUCUACACAUUCAACCCCCUCACCAUCGUCAAUCCUCACACUUGUCCCUUCUUUCUACUGCAUGCAUGAUUUGGUUGGAUAGCUUCACAUCACAGUUUUAUAUAAGGCAGAAAAGAUAGACGAGGACGACGACGAUGACGACGCAUGAAAACUACAAAACAGUCAAGACAAGUCAAGAGUCCCUUUUUAACAGUGAACGAACGAAAACGAACAUAAUUAUAACAAAAAAAAAAGUUGAGCGUGUGGGAUUCGGUUUUCUGGUUCUGAAUGAAGGCAAGAGGUAAAAUGUUAAUGUUGAAGAAUGUAGAGACCCUCUCAAUGGAAAUGAAAUGAUAAAGGAAUCAGCAGCUAGCAGCAGCAAAACAGAGAUGACUCACAAAAAGGGCACAACAAAAAAUACAAAAUUCACACGUUAAAGUUUAAAUUCCCUGAUUUUAAUUUAAUUUCUAUUCCAAUAUGAUUUUAUUCAUCACUUUUUGAUUCAAUUGACAAUAUUUUGUUGUUGUCAAGAAUUUUUUAAAUGAUCUUCUGUUACGUCCAGAGUAAAUCAUGCACUUCACUCAAAGAGAAAAUCGUUGCUUUUAAAAAGUUACCGUUUUAAUUGGCACUUUUUUUUUUAUUAAACUCUUGCACAAUACAUUUACAAUUUUAUUUUGGCAAACAAUUUGUGUAUGCACAAGAAAAUUCCCAAAAUAUUUUUGUUUUUCCUCAAAAAAACAAAUACAGUUGUUGUUGUUGCUGUUAGGUUGUGGUUGGUGGAUGGUGGAAAAUUCACAAGAAUUUUUGUUUGGAAAUAUUUUAUGAUUUCAUCAUUAUUUUUCCAAAUAAAUCCCUUGACUUGCUUUACACAACAGCAAAAGGAUUUUUUUUCACUCAAAAACAUUCACACACACACACGAUAUACGGCAGUAGCACAUACCACAAGUGUAAUGAAAACUGUAUUAUUCCGAAAUUCCAAAACUCAAAGGGAAAAAUGACUGACUUGUGUUGGUGUGGCUAGCUGACAGAGCUACACCAAAAUUGAAAACAAAAAAAGAGAUGAAAGGCUCACCUUGCCGAAAAAUUAAAAAAAAAAACAAG